ensembl:lncRNA
GAGCCAAGGCACAGGCUCAAACUCUGCUAAGGCUUCUCAUGCUAUCCUGUAACUCUUUGAUGUGCACUGGCAAACCUCUAGUUUUUAUCAGGUUGCAUUUGCACAGGCUUUAGGGCUCUCUUAAGAGGGCAUUCACAGUGUAAUCUCCAUGCUUUGGCUGAUAGGAAGAAAUAACAUAAAAAUAUAUUGAAUUGUUUUCUGUGCUUGUUUAGCGACCUGCAGUAUUUGGCUGAUGGAGCGGUCAGCAGCACAUUAGGCUGUACUUACCUUAUGCAGAUUGUUUCUGUGACAGUGCCCUUUCCCAGUGCAGAGCUGCCCACCUCACAUUAGUCACAAAUGCCUUUUGCUCCAUCACACCCAGCUGCAUUGCUCCUGAAACAAAUAAGGAACAUUCAAUGUAAUUAUAUUUCCAUAAAACUGAUACUUUUAUUUCCUUAGCUUUGACCUUUCGACUUUCCGGAGGCUUCCACCACCUUCUAUAUUGUUAAAGCUAUUUUCUCUGGCUCCAUUCUUAAAGUAAAAAUCUAAAUAAGCUUGUGUGCUUUAAAGCAGUCUGCACUGCCCUAUCUUAAGUCAGUUCUUGUGCACAGCACCAGGUUUGCUUUCCAAAUGCAAGCACAGAGUAGACAAAAAUGUAAAGAGGAGAGCUCAAAUACAAAGUAAGUGUGUAAAGAUACCAUUUUGAGCAAUUCUGAGUCAGCUGUUGAGUUUUCUAAUACCAUUCUCAUGUCACUUUGUUGUCAAUCUGUUGGCAAAUACCACUGGCACAGCAGCACAACCCAGGCACUGAUAAUGGACACGUUCAGCUUUCUUUGGUUCCUUAACAUGUGAAAAACUGUUGCUGCUUGCACGGGACAGCUGUCUUAGCCUGUGUUGGACAAGGAGAGGCCAAUGGGCAGUUAGUAUCAAGUGCAAGUAGUGUUUAGACAUUUCACUGUUCUGUAAGAUUGUAUUAGUCUAAACAGCAGUCUUCUGUCUCCUUCUGUCUCUUAAAGUUUUUUUUUUUAGCUGUCCUGAUUUAAUUUCAGAAACUGACUGUAGUUUCCUCUUAGAAGACAGCAAAAGUUCAUCAUUAGUAGAACAUUUGCAUGCCAGCCUGCAACCUCAACUUGGUUUAUUUCUGGGCUUCUCAACACACGGUCACUCUGCUGAAGGCGAUCCCACCCCUCCAUUAGCUUUUAAAAUCCAGUGAUCAGUUACCGGAAUCCCCCACGGAUCAAUGAUGGGGCUGUCCUAGCGUUUGCAUAACUGAUGUGGAAGAGCACACAUGGGAGGGUGAGCAGGUUUGUCCUCCAACCUGAAAUAGAAGAGUGAAAUGGUUAGUCAUCAGCACAGUGUUAAAAAAAGAUUUUGCAACGCUGAAUAAAAACAGUCGAUAAAACGGCAGAUGAAGCUCUAUGUCAGUAAUAUCCCAGCAGUGUGCUUGGGGUUUUAGCACUCAUAACGUACAGAGCGAAACUUGCAGCUGCCACACUGAGCAAAAAGCCUCAGAAUUAUGUUUUAUUUUUGGCAAAUAGCAACGUUACGCUAGGUAGUAGUCUAAACAACUGGAGGGAUUUCAGAGUUUACUAGAAACAAGAUAAGGACCUUACCUCUAUGAAUCCAUUUGUACUCAAAUACCGCUUCCCUGCAAGCACGGAAAGAAUAACAGUAAAGGGUAUCGAGAGCAACAGCAAAGAUGAGCAAAGGUAAGAAACAUACACAUAUACACGUGCAAAACAUCUUCUGUCUUCUGCACUGAACAAAGGGACCGAGAACAUGAUGAAGACAGAGAAAAUCACAAAGAGAAAAUGAUGGAUUUCCUGCACAAGAAAUUAACUGUCAAGCCAUGAAUCUGUAAACUAUAUAAAGCUCAGGUUUAAAAGUGGUUAGAGAAGUUAAUGACAGCUAAUAAGAACAUCAGGUCUGCUCACUACAUAGAAAUCCUCCUCAGCUCAGGAGGCCCACGUGCCAGUUACCAAUGGGGGUAAUCAGGAGCAGGAUCCUUCCUCCUUCCUCCUGCCAUCUAUUACUGUCUCUCUGAGUCAGGUGAACUGCGGGUGCCUGCUUGGAAAAGUAAGCUGCGAACCACAUCUGUAUUAAAAGGAGGGCUCAAAACGUAGAACAUUUCUCACUUGUGUAAACAGCACUGUGUAUUAAUCACAGAAAUACUGGCAUAAUUGGACACUUUAAAGUACAAAUGGAACUUCUCUGUCAGCUGGUUUCAGAUUAGAUAUUAAUAACAUUCCAACAGUGCCUCCAGCUAGAGGGAAUGAGGCCCACAGCACUACUUGAUUAUUACUGUAUUUUCAUAUACUAUGCCUACAAGGAUAAAAAUUGGUUUGGAAGUGGAAGCUGAUUUUAGAGCCCUUUAACUCCUCACUGAGAUACAGCCCUCUUAUGGCUGUUGGAUGCUUUUGCCAACUACAGAUGAAGAAAUAUUGUAUUCUGAAAGUUAGAGCUUGCUGGCAUCUGACACUCCUUCCUUACAUUCGAGCUUUGUAGCUCCUUAGGCUCAGUAUUACCAUCACAACAGUAAGUUAAGCGUGCCAAAAUACAGACAGAUUGGCAUUAAGGCUGUUUUAAAAACACUGUUAUCCUUAAGAAAGCUUUUCUAUGCUUUGUGUCCCCUUUUAGACUCUAAAUACUGGUCAGAGUUUGGAAUAAAUAAUACAAUCUACGUCCUUAUGAUACAGCCCAUCUUCAUAGCAAAGAGCACAUAAAGAACCGUUUUCUGCUUAUUUUUCUGUUGACAAGUUCUGCAUUAGAAAAGCACUUACACAAAGCCAAGCUUUGCACAACAAUAGUUUUCCUACUUCUCCCAAUGCACGUUCCCUGCAAAUAGCUACGUAUUAAUUCCUUCCUGUUAAAAUUACUUCAUGAAUUUUGAUCCGUGAUGCAAUCUCCCUAGAAGCCUUAUAUCGUGAUGCUGAAUUGAAAUGAAAUGUUUCCAUACUACAUGAUAAAUACCCAAGCAUUGUUAUGGAGAGCACCCCAAUGUUCUGAUAGAAUCCACACUUACCUACAUCCCAGGAUCAGCUAAGGUGAGGGUGGGUUACAAUGAACCUUACCGUGUGGUUUAUGAAGGUGAAUCCACAGAGCAGCUGAAAAAAUGUCCCGAAGCUUUACUUAAGCCUUCUGUGUCCUUUGCCAGAAGUGUGUUUCUGAGGAGCAGAAGGUAUUUCUGAGGGUGAAAGACAGGAGGGCAGGAGGUCGAAUUCCUUAAUAGCCACAACACAUCAAAAAAAACUGAUUUGGAAAAUCAAAAAAAGAUCAAAUUGUUGGCUUUUUUGGUAGCAUCUUUUGUAUAGCAUUCAUACAUACUGUGUAACCCUGUAAGAGUAACCAUAAAUAAAAAGCAUUUCUAGGAAACAUCAUACCAGUUAUUAAAACGUCCCCAGUUCUUUUAAGGCGUAACUACAGAAUAAAAGGGAAAACUUCAGUGACAGCUAUGGCUGGGAAGAAAAUAUGCUCUCAAGAUCAGGUACAGUAGCAGAUGACAGAUCAACCAGAGGCAGAGUAGGUCAGCAUCUCACCUGCAGUCUAGAUAGCGAUGGAAUCCACAGAGAGGAAUGGAGAUAUCUGCUCGUGUCACCUUGAGGACAGUGAUACUCAUCUGUCCGAUUCUGACAAUGUCUCUCUUUUUGUGUUGCUGUUUUUCACUUAAAAAAGGAGCGCUAACAGCAUGCACAAUUUCUCAAGAAUCGUCCGAGCCCAAGGCACUAGGGCUGCAUCCUUAAGCCAGGUGAUGGAAGUACGGUUAUGAACAAUUUCAUGAACUGCAGAGUUAAUAUUUACUGUUAUAAAUAGUUAUUAUUCUAUAACUAUUUCAGCAAAAUUCAAUAUGAAGGCUGGCUGAGGAACCAGACUGCGCAAUAGAACAGAGCCCAGAAAACAGAGCGAUAAGGAUACAUAGAUGUGCCUACAGACAAAUGUAAUCCACUUUGCUUACAGUGGGAUUAGUCUGCAGCUAAGAGGACUAUUUUACUAUUCAACAUUUUCAAAAUAGUCCAUGAAUUAGGACUUUGUUUUAAAAGUGCUGGCUUGAGAAAUGAUUAGCAUGCUUCUUAAUAGCCCAGAAUGACUCACAAGGCAUUGUGGUUGACACCAAUUGCAUUUUAAAGGUCUUCAUCUACAGAAGGCUAAUAAAAAAUAUUUUAGAUGCAUCUAAAUAUUGAAAUGGCUUUGAAAUCAUUAAAUUUUCCCUAAGUAUCACAUACAUUCUGCAAAUAAGAGUUAAUGCGGGAAUAAAAAGCAAAUAAAGUAAGCAAGCUAACCACAAAUAUACUUAAAAUGAGUAAAUUUCAUUUAUAUAAACUACGAAUGUCAUUUUCUAUCUGUAGACCACGCAGCGAUAAGUGGCAGAUAAAUGUGAUGUGCUUUAAAGAUACGGUAACAAUUUCUGAAACCAAGAUCAAGAUGUCUGUUAUGAGAAAAAUCAGAGAAAAGAAAAUGAUUUGCCUAUUUCUAACAUCUGAGCUUCAGAUCAGAAGAAAGCAGAGCUGCCACUUCAGAAGAUAAGCAUUUUAGAUUUCAACAACUACAGUAAUUGCUUGCAUUGUGCACACAGGAGAUAUAGGAUCUGUGCAGUGAAGGAAACCAGAUAAUACGAGGCAGGUCACUGCUGCCUAUGGAGUUAAUGAUGGAUUUUCCAGCAUUUUAUCAUUAGCUGUCUUCUCGGUGCUUGAGUUACAACUGAAAAAGGGCCUGGGGAAAAUACAGCAUUUUUUACAGUCACAGUCUAAAAUCUGAAACCACAUCUGUGGUUUAUUCCAGAGAUGCAAUUCAAUGCAAUCUUAGGACAGCACAAAAUAAGUUUUGUUUUGUUUUUUUAAACUUUACAGUGAUGGUUUUUCUGUUAACAAGCAGAUUUUCUUCAUAUCGAGGCCUACAACUAAUUAAAUGUAGUCAGCAGUAACAUUCUGCAGAAUUAUUUUGAAAAGGUAUUAUUGGCUGUUGCAGCCUCACUUGCGUGGUAAAUGAAUAUAAGGAUGAAAAAUAGUCAUUCAUAGAAUCAAAUCAAAGGCAUAAAUGUCCUUUCACAGAUGGGACAGUUAUCACUCUGUUCAUCUAAUCGAGGUGACAGUAUGGAAUAUGGAACAAACCUGGGGUGACCCAGUUCAAAAAUAGGCAAGUAGAAACAGUUGAAAAGCACUUAUCUCAGUUCAUCUUGCAGCACAGUCAGGUUUCUGCGAUGCAUUCGGGUGUCUCCUGCUAAACGAUACAGCAGAAGCACUUGCAUUGCUUUCCCUGCAUUUUACAAUGAUUUCUUCCAGCUACUUAUGGCCAAAUUUAGCUCUAGAAGCACCAAGAGUUUCAGCAAGUACUUACCGGCAAGCUGUUUGCUGGUAGGGCUAAAAUAGAUGCUAUUUUAAUUUUGAUACGCAAGACUUGAAAGAUUAUGAGCUACAGCUUUUUCAGAUGCCACAUUUCAUAACCCACCAUCAUUCUCCACUUUGAGCAAAGUCUCAUUUCAUAUUUGACUUGAAUUUGAGUGAAAAUAACUACUGACUUACAAAACUAUUAGACUGCUCUACCUAUAGCAACCAACAGCCAUGAGUCCCACUCAGCAGGGCCCCAGGUAGGGACAGGCUAACAUAAUGGGCCAGAAUAUCAAUUACCAGCAGAAAUUCUUGAAUGGAAACUACAUUUAUGUGAACUAAGCAAAUGUUUUUGGCAAGGUUCUCCAGGAAACUCGUGCAGACUAUCAGCAACACCAGCUAAAUAUUAAGAAUACUGAAAUAUAUUGAUCUUGGUUUUGGAUAUUUUUGGAUUUUACUUUGAUGCAAUGUUGAAGAGUUAUCCGUAUUGAACAGACAUCAUUAAAAAUUGCCUCAGAUCAUCUCUGUAUAACUGAGAAUAGAACAGAGCCUUGUGCAACCCCUACACCGCAAGUCAGGCAAGGACUGAAAUAAGGGUACUUACAUAAGAACCAGUUGUUCAAGUUACAUUACAGUUUGCACCCUAAUGUCCACUAGCGGUAUUGAAGAGGUGGUGCUUACACAACUGCUGGGCUUACAUGCCGCUGCCUGCACAUUGGCAAAAUACAUCCUACUCCUCUUUUCCUCGUAUUUUGAGAAAGAAAAACUUUAAUGUUUUUCCUUAGUCUAGGGGGCAGCCUGCCAGCAAAAAGACAACUUUCUCUUCCCACCUUUCUAUGGAACCACUUUUGCUCAACCACAUAAUUCAAAAAACCAUCUACAGUCUUAAAAGUAAUUUACUGAGACCAUUACUGAGGUCCUACUAGGGACCAUUCUUCUCACAGAAUAGCAUCUUGUGACUGAGAAAUCCAUCAAAACGUAGUUUUUAAGUAUGAGGUUUCUUGUGUUAGGACUUUGAUGAUGAAACAUUCCCUGCGACCUUCAGCAGAGACUAAAUUUACCAACUUCUAAAGACUGGAGUAAACCAUUUUGAUUAGCAAACGACAGAUGAGAAAGCAAGGGUCUAUUUUUGUGCAGAUAUCCUUACCCUCUAGCAGAGGUAGUCCUUCUGACCGCCCACAGCAUUUCUUUCCUUUGUUGAAUCACAUGAGGGUGAUGCCAGAUGCUGCAGUUACUGAUAGAAAUUCUUUUCACAGAGAUGCAUUAAUGGUAUCCUGGACAUAUAAAGAAAAAUAAACUGGAAACAGAAUAAAAUUAUUCCUAUUUUUAUCAUGCUAGCAAAAUAUACCUUGAGAGAAGUGUUUAUCACCAAAACAUUUAGGAAAUUGUGCAUUAACACUUCAAGAGGAAAAUGCACAUUUACCUUUUCAAGACAGUAGAUACCUAAUGAAAAACAGGCAUAAGUAUUUUAAUAGUCCAUAAUUUUUCUUGUUUUUCCAGUAUAUGCAAGCUUAUUUGAUAAAUAUUAUUCAAUUACAAAAGAAAACUAGUAGGCUAGCUGUCUGCCAGGCAUAUUUCUGAUUUUUAAUGGUUUAUUUAAUUUGCUUUAUUUGAUUAUUUAGGGAAAAAGGAGCCUGUAAAUUUUCAGUAAUAAUUGAACUGCGGUGCUGUGAGAAAGAAAGAAGGGAAAGGGGAGAGGGGAAGAAGGUGUGGAGGGAGGAAAAGAAGAAAGGAAAAAAAUAAAAUGCAAAGACAUACCUGAUCUUCGAACUAAUCUGAAGGAAAGUAUGCGUUUGUUUUAGCUCAGCAUUUGUAAAUUGAAGUUAUUACAAUUCAGGUGAAGAAUUGAUGUACUUCCAUAUUCUAUGUCAAAAAAUAAAAUAAGUGUAAUCUUACUCUGCAGGCUAGCUUACCAAGUCAGGAAUUUGUGGCUGAUGUUCUGAAGAACAAACUUAUACUUCUGUGAAACAUGGAGUCCUUAAAAAAAAUGAUAUGUAAAUAUUAAGCAAGUUGUUGAAUUCUUUUUUGAGACUCCUAAGACAAGACCAUACCUGCUCAUACUGUCAGAUGGGAGAGAAAAGUGCUAGCUUAAAUAUUCAGAAACACUUUCUUGAGGAUCUACUGAUUCCUAAAUCAGGUACUUACCAACCUGAAAUUAUACAGUAUGAAAAUCACCUGUUACAAAAAUGAAUUAUGGUUUUGAAUACAGACAUCUCAAUCUGUGCAUCAUCUCUUCUUGAAACUAUAAAUAGCUUGAAGUAGUACUUCCAAAAGAGUUACAAAUCACUCUUACUUUACUUCCAUUGCCAGAUGAAUACAGUAUUGUAAACUAAGAUGGCUGUCAUUUCACUCUGAUUUGCUACCUACAAAAGAAGCAAUCCAAUAAGAGUGACUGGGAAAGCAGUAAAUUGGUAACUUUUCUCCUGUUACGUACCUAAGCACGAUAAAAAUCAAAAUAAGAAUGCUGACUCAAACUGAAAACAUGAAUCACAAAACCCUCUGAUGCCAUUCUUAAAGUGUUCAUCAAGAGAUGAAAGCUGAUAAAACGUGCCCAUAGAACAGUAUUUGUAAACGACCAGUCAGAUGGUUGUUCAACAAAGUAAUUAGUUUUUCUCUACUUGGCAAGUGGAAUAAGCAUUAUCAGAAAACAGACUCUCAAACAAGAGGGCUGAAGUCUGAGACCAGGCUCAAAAACCUACUGGAGAUCAAGCCCCUCACACCAUUCUAUCUCUGACUACUCGCAGGUACAGAAAUGUGUUUACUUCCUUGUUUUAAUAGCAGCAAAGGUUUCUGCUGCAUUUGAGAUUUUUGGACUGCACCUCCAGCAAGAUGGUUUUGCACCUGAGAGCUGCCUUAAAUAAAACUGCUUCCUUCCACCCAAGGACUCCAAACACAACAUACUGAAUGAAAAACAUUACAAAAUAUAACAAUGAUUAGCCAUUAAUUUUUUCUUCACUUAGUAAAAAUCUAUGAGAAUACAUUAACACCUUCAACUACAGAAAUAACACACGUCCCACUUCAUAUUACUGUACUUACUAUUGUACUACACACGUGUUUCACAAAGACAACUCUGGCUUUGGAAGUUCUGCGCAUCUCUGAAGAUCUGCUGUAAAAAUUUGGAUCCUGAUUGGGAAUAGGGAAAAAGACCUACGUCUGCCUACACAAAAACAGUGAUCAAAAAGAAAAAACAAUUAUUUCUUCAAGCUAACCCUUGAAAGUCAAAGCUACAGCACUUGGAAUACCUUUCCAUCUGUGAACACAUAAGAUGAUCCCUUUUCCCUUGAAAAUGCAGCAGGCAAAAUUACUUGCAGUUUUGGUGAAUUAUGCGUGUGAUGCACAACUACUCCCUCUCUCUCAUGCACAAAUGCGGCAGCUUGCUGCAGCCCCACCAUCUGAAGGGGUAAGAAGCAAAUUCAAUCUGUUUGGACUGCACUUGUUCAGUUCUUCCUCAUCCAUCCUGGAAAUGCUAACAGCCCAGAUAGAAAUUCCAGCUGGAACUCAGGGUAUUGCAAUCAACUGGACACAUUAUCGCCAAAAGCAACAGGAGGGGCAGACAGACUGUGGAAGGGUUCUGCCCUGGUGACGAUACACAACUCUGUAAUUCCUAUACUUAGCCCUGAUGAAUUUUUCCUUACAUCUGUGGGAAGAAUCACAGGUUGACCAUAGGAAACACCGUGGUCUGCAUGCUAAAGAAGAUGGCAUGCUGCCCUGACUUAGAGAAGACAUAAGCAAGAGCUUACUGUGAUCUUAUUCUCUGAAGGCAGCUUGUUACUGUUUUGAAUGUUCACCAUUCCUGUCAAAGCACUUUAGUCAUGCUUUAUGAAGAAAAAACAGGAUACACCAAUCUCAUUUUUUUGUACACCAAGCCGUAAAGUUUUUGAGAUUACAUUUCACUUGACAGAAGACAUUUUGAAAUACACACAAAAAUUCAAAAGGAGAAAUAAAGAUUGAGAGUGGUGCAAAGAUAUGUAUCUAUGAAUCAAGAGAUCGGGUUCAGUUGUAGCAAAGGAG